rnacentral:rRNA from 1 species
UACGGAGGGUGCGAGCGUUGUCCGGAAUCAUUGGGCGUAAAGGGCGCGUAGGUGGCGGGACAAGCGUGCGGUGAAAGCUCGGGGCUCAACCCCGGGUCGGCCGUGCGAACUGUUUUGCUUGAGCACUGUAGAGGCAGGCGGAAUUCCGGGUGUAGCGGUGGAAUGCGUAGAGAUCCGGAAGAACACCGGUGGCGAAGGCGGCCUGCUGGGCAGUGGCUGACACUGAGGCGCGACAGCGUGGGGAGCAAACAGG